GCACCCGUAGCCCAGUUGGAUAGAGCGUCAGACUCCGACUCUGAAGGUCAGCGGUUCGAAUCCGCUCGGGUGUACCA
rnacentral:tRNA from 1 species